AAAAGCAGGAAGAUAGUUCAAGAUACCUUUUACGGUUUACCGGCUCUCUUACCGGUGUCCGGUACUGCAGCGAAUUGCGCGGGUACAGAGAUACGUAGUUUGAGCCGUAUUGCUUAUCCAGUUUAUUCCCAUACAAAUGUAAGUAUCGAGGCGGAACCCCAUGAUACACCUGUACAGCAUACCUUAUGAUUGAGGUCCCUGCUCGAAAGUCAAGAGAUUCAAAUCAUUCAAGCUGCAUUUUCUCAGGAAAACGGGACGAAGCAUUUCAGCAACGAAUAUCUGGCAUUAUUUCGGUCGAUUUGAAAUAGUGCACAAUAGUUGUACAUUUCGUAUAUUUUGAGAAAAUAAAAAUUGGCAUUAUAUUUAGUUGGUUUUGAGCUUUAGUCGCUUGAUACCUUCGGCGCUUUUCCGAAAUCAGUGGUUUUCCUUUUAUCCACGUUCCAGUCGUUCCUUCUAAUCAUCAUGAGCCGUGGAGGUAUUGGCACGCGAAUUUUCGUUGGGAAUCUGCCUCCUGAUAUCAGAGAAAGCGAGAUCAAAGAUGUAUUCCGUAAAUACGGAAAAAUCGUGCAGAUGGAUCUGCGAAACAAAAGUCAAACUGGACCUCCAUUUGCCUUUGUGGACUUCGAUGAUUCUAGGGACGCCGAUGACGCCGUCCGUGCUCGUGAUGGCUACGAACUGGAUGGAUACAGGAUCCGUGUGGAGUUUCCGCGGGCCUACAGGAAUUCUGACGGUCGUUUUGUGAACUCCCGUGGCGGCGACCGGGACCGCCGGGGAGGGGAUCGCAGGGGAGAUAAUUAUCCAUCCAGGAACACGUUUAACAGGCACUCAGGAAAUUCCAUGCGGCGUUCGAAGUACCGCGUGAAUAUUACAGGUUUGCCGAUUUCGGGAAGUUGGCAGGACCUGAAAGACCACAUGCGUGAAGCAGGCGACGUGUGUUUUGCUGACGUCAACAAGGAUGGAACUGGAGUGGUUGAGUACAUUCGCGAGGAUGACAUGAAGUAUGCAAUAAAGAAGCUGGACGACAGCAAAUUCCGAUCCCACGAGGGAGACACAUCGUACAUUCGAGUGAAAGCAGCUGAAGGCAAUGAUAGUCGUCGCUCGCGCUCCCGUUCGGGAUCUCCUGCUGGACGCAGUCGUAGUCGCUCUCCAGUGGGACGCUCUAAACGCGACUCACCCAGAGAUGAGCCGGGAAGCGACAGAGACAGCAAGCGUGUGAAGCGCGAAGCUUCGCGCUCUCGUAGUCGCUCUUCGCACUCGAAAUCGCGUUCCCGUAGUAAGACACCAGCUUCGCGUAGCCCGUCGCAGGAGAAGGAAUGAACAUGUAUCACACAGUUUUUGGUCCGUAUUCGUCUUGGCUGCUCUGUGUGAACAAUGAGCUAUGUGUUCUGUCUGGAGGACGGAUCGUAAAUUGGCUUCGAGUUCGAUUUGACACAAAAACCAUAGGAUGAGCCUAACGAGUCGGGUUUUGCGAGCUAAGCAUGGGGCCUGCAAGCCGUCUGAUACGGAUGGCGAUCGGCAUUAUCUGGGCUUUCCCAUGUGCAAGCAAGCGGUCGUCGUGGGGCACGAAACGUGGCAUAUGGUACUUUUGGUCGAUAAUUUGGGAGGACAAUAUCGUCGGAGAAAAAUAGUUUGUUUGGGAUUUGAUGGGAUGGGAACGAUUAUGUCGCUCGCUUGGAGGGGAAAGAAAGCGAAGCUUUGGCGUAUCGCGUAGGGAACGUAAUGCUGAACAAGUGCGCGUGCUGGAGCAGCAGCUGUGGGAUGUUCCAGCGUUUGUAAUUUUACUAACGAUAACGAUGUGACAUACGCUUCUGCACGAGGGUUCCCAGCCAAAACUUGGUGAAACCCGUACUGUAUCACAUGCUGUCCUUUGUCCAGGCUGUGAUUCGCACAUCGCGGUAUUUAUGAUAAGUUGUGCAGUAUUAAUUUUUUUGAUUUAUGAAGGCAGAAUAAAUAAAACUGGUACCUGUUAACAGUGUUGUCAUCUCAUGGCAGUGUGGAUGCAGGUGCCACGGAGUCACAGACGUUGGACAGUGCAACAUUUUAUUUGAAAGUUGAACAUGAUUAUUUCAAAUUAAUUAAUAUUAAGCGAACAUUGGAUUGGUUGGCUGUCGGUCCCGCAGUUCGCUGGAUCAAAACAUCUAAUCCCCGGACUCGAAUGGUGGGCAAUGGGCAUAAAUGAUAGUGGUGCAAAUUGUCGACUACCGGCAUCAUUGUAAUUGUACAUAAUUUUCCUUAUAUAGAUAUUUUGCAUGAUAAACUUCCUUAUGUACUUGUACUAACUAGUGUAUAGUCGUUAUGAAUACAACAAUCAGGAAAAUCACUUGGGAGAGA